rnacentral:rRNA from 1 species
AGCAGCCGCGGUAAUUCCAGCUCCAAUAGCGUAUAUUAAAGUUGUUGCAGUUAAAAAGCUCGUAGUUGAAUUUCGGGGUUAGUAGGUUGGUCAUGCCUCUGGUAUGUACUGGUCCCACUGAUUCCUCCUUCCUGAUGAGCCGUAAUGCCAUUAAUUUGGUGUUGCGGGGAAUUUGGACUGUUACUUUGAAAAAAUUAGAGUGUUUAAAGCAAGCUAACGCUUGAAUACAUUAGCAUGGAAUAAUGAAAUAGGACGUUCGAUCCUAUUUUGUUGGUUUCUAGGAUUGACGUAAUGAUUAAUAGGGAUAGUUGGGGGCAUUAGUAUUCAAUUGUCAGAGGUGAAAUUCUUGGAUUUAUUGAAGACUAACUACUGCGAAAGCAUUUGCCAAGGAUGUUUUCAUUAAUCAAGGACGAAAGUUAGGGGAUCGAAGACGAUCAGAUACCGUCGUAGUCUUAACCAUAAACUAUGCCGACUAGGGAUCGGAUGAUGUUAAUUUUUUAAUGACUCAUUCGGCGCCUUACG